AACCAUCGGGUUUCUUCCGUGCCAUCAGUUGGUCUGGGUGUCAGGAUGAAGCUAGCUUCACGGAAUGAGCGUGGAAGCUGCCACCUUUUCCUGUGCCCUAAAAUCACAGUGGUUGCUGCUUGCUUUAGGCCGUAUUUUUGAAUCAGAAGGAAAAGCUCAAGUUCACCAGGUGCAGGCCCUGUUUUACGCAGAAAACUCCCGGUGACAACAACAGCAAAACAAGCGGCAGGGCCCCAAGCGACUGUGGAUUAUGAGGAUACGGCUACUUUACUACCAAACGAGGCCUAACAUUCUGACCUGACAAGUUAUGCUUUGCCUCCU